rnacentral:rRNA from 1 species
ACGAAGGGUGCAAGCGUUACUCGGAAUUACUGGGCGUAAAGCGUGCGUAGGUGGUUUGUUAAGUCUGAUGUGAAAGCCCUGGGCUCAACCUGGGAACGGCAUUGGAUACUGGCUUACUAGAGUGCGGUAGAGGGUAGUGGAAUUCCCGGUGUAGCAGUGAAAUGCGUAGAUAUCGGGAGGAACAUCUGUGGCGAAGGCGGGUCUCUGGGCCAUAACUGACGCUGAGGAGCGAAAGCGUGGGGAGCGAACAGGA